UUUAUACGUCGAAUUUUGGUCGCGUCGAAUGCAAUUAAGACAAUAGAUAAUGAGAUGAUUAAACCUCAUUAAGCUUCAUUAUCUAUUGUUUGAAUUGCAUUCGACGCGACCGAAAUUCGACGUAUGAA